AAAGACUCUCGACAACGGAUAUCUCAGCUCCCGCAUCGAUGAAGAACAUAGCGAAAUGCGAUACUUGGUGUGAAUUGCAGAAUCCCGUGAACCAUCGAGUCUUUGGACGCAAGUUGCGCCCGAAGCCAUUAGGCCGAGUGCACGUCUGCCUGGGCAUC
rnacentral:rRNA from 1 species